rnacentral:lncRNA from 1 species
AGGGAGCCAUUAUUUGAUAUUCGGAGCAAAGAGAAUGAAAGGAAAGAAGGUGAGUUUGGCAGUGCAUGAAAUGAAUGAGGUUUGCAGUAUUUAUAGCAAAGCAAAUAGUUCAGCUUCUUUAGUUUGGUAAACCUUUCCAAGUUUGAAAUUCUGGUAAAUAUUAUUUUUUUUAACGGAAUGGGUUCUGUUAUGAUUGUUCUCAAGCUACCUUCUUAGACUUGGAAUAUUUACUCGUUUUAGAAAAAACGCUUUAUAAUUUUCAAAUCCUACUGCAGCUUACUUUCCUUGUUAAAGUCUUUGAUACUAACAAAAGUCAUUAGUAAAUGCAGAUUUGGCGUGAACUGUUUAGUAUUUACUUUGUAGAAAUAUUCCCCUCCUUUUUCCUUCCCUCUAUUCAGGUGUUUCUGAUAGUGGCUUAUUAUGCUUUAACUCAUAGUUUUCUUCAGUUUUUGUUUAAUGUCCUUAUCAAAAUCACUGUAGAUAUAUGAAUAGAAUGUGAAAUUGCAUGCCAGAGAGAGAGAUUAAUUGUAUGUAGGCUGAAUAUUUAAAGCAAAGAUUGAAUAGAUUAAAACAACUUGGCUUCAGUUAGGUGAUUUUGCACUAAAGAGCCCUUGGGGUUAGGCAUCUUUUGAUGUUCUCACUAGUUUUUGAUCACAUGACCUUUUGAUUUCUUCUAGUCAGACUCAGAAGGUGUAAGGAAAACUGAAAGGGUCGUGUUGGAUUUUCAGGAAAGUUUAACAAAUAACAAACUUUAUUGAGGUCCAUUGAGGGGGACUCCAGCAUUUGACAAAAUUGCUUGAAAACAUAGGUGGAUGCAGUGCUAUCUUAUAGAAGCCAAUAUUCAAAGUUAUGCCAACGAUAUAAUAAUACAAUGUUAUAGAAGUCAAUUCAUCUGUUCAUUCUUUCAAAAUCCAUUUAUACAUGCCCUCAGUUUUAUUCAUGCAUUCUGUUAUUUUGCUUGCUUCUCAAGCUCAGGAAUUUCACCAAAAGGUGGCUGGACAUUUUAUUGACAGGCUCAAGCAGACAGGCAAACAGCUUGCCGACAAAGACUGCCACAAAGGGAGUCCAUUAUUUGAACACAUCAGCCAUGACCUGGAAACCAUUAGUGAUCUGUGGUCCCUACUUGUAUUGAUGUAUUCUCCAGGUGAAGUAACGGAAGGAAAUAAUCUUGCAUAUUCAAAGGCUUAAAAGACAAAUAUGCUGUCGAUUUCAUGUACAUGCAGAAAUGAUUUGAAGCGUUGGUGUUGCUUUCAUCUAAUGUUAAGAAGAUACAACAUCGAACAAGUGCAUGGUUAAUCUGCUUAGCCAGGUUGGAUGAUGGAACAAUCAGAAGAAGUUAUGCAUUUUUAAGGCAGAAUCUGCUUUAUUUGAAGCCUUAAUUAUGCUUGAGAGAUUUUUAUUUUUUUCAGAAAACCCAUUUAUAUUCAGAGUUGGAAGACUGUGACCAAGAAACUUAGGGAGCUACUAUUCAAAGUUUAUGAGCCCUAAAUGUCGUUGUCAAAACAUGUAUCUGCUGCAAGAAAUUAAGCUGGUGCAGAAAAUGAAUCAACUUGUAGCUGUUUACAUUCAAAAGGAUUGCAAGAGAAGAUGGUAAAUUAUAGGAAGGUUUUGGAAUCAAAGGUGGUGUGCGGAAUUUUUGUGGACAUGAUAAAGGUUGGUACAUGCAGUUGUAAUUUUUUGGAAUAGGGUUUUCAAUUGAAGUUUUAGUUUAUGAUAAACCCACUGAAACGAAGAAUGGGCGUGGCAUGUGACUUCAACUUCAUGUUCUUUCAAAUCUUAAUCUCAAAAUGAGCUACAUGUUUUAUACCAGAUUUUUGUUUUUUGUCAGAUUAAACCAAAUUGCAUUAUUCCCAUUUUCCAUUUAGGCAAACAAGACAAAG